rnacentral:lncRNA from 1 species
GGGGACUGUCAUGGCUGGAGUUCACAGGACAGAGUGCUGGAGAGGAGAGAGCUGCACAGAGAGAACUUGAGAGGCCUGCAAAGGGUUCCCCUCAAGUAUUCGGCUGAGUACUAAUUAGUACCUGUCUGUGAGGAAAUUACCUGAAGCUGCGGAAAGAAACCCCUAAAUAUAUUAGGGGUAGCAGGAUCUGGUGCUCACACAGAGCUGAGAAUAUUUGCCCUUCUCACCAGCCAGACUGGAAAACCCCAUGAUUCACAGGACAUUAGGUAUCCAGUUCAGCACCUCACACAGAGCAAGUACUCAAUAAAGGUUUGUCGCAUGAAUAAAUGAUGAAGACUUUCCUUUCUGGCUUCCAGUGGAAGAUGUCAAAAGAACCAGGAUAUUAUGUGCAUGCUCCUGAGGGAAACUGACCUUUUCGGGAUUCAAUGAUGACUCAGGAAGAUUAGCCCUGAGCUAACAUCUGCUGCCAAUCCUCCUCUUUUUGCUGCGGAAGACUGGCCCUGAGCUAACAUCUGUGCCCAUCUUCCUCUACUGUGUAUGUGGGACACCUGCCACAGCAUGGCUUGCCAAGCGGUGCCAUGUCCGCACCCAGGAUCCCAACCCAUGAACUCCAGGCCACCAAAGCGGAACAUGCAAACUUAACUGCUGCGCCACUGGGCCGGCCCCCUGAUAUUCAAAUUUUACAUUGUUAUUCACAGUUAAGUCAGAUCCUGAAUGUGACUACAAACAAUUGCAUUUCUUUCCUUCUACAACUUUUCUGUUUCCCUGAAGACCUUGCCGUUUGGUUCUCCUUUGGUGACACUUGAGAAGAAUCCAACCAUUUAGGAGCUGACAACCACAGUUACAGGACGCCAGUUUGCCUCAUUCUCACCCAUCACACUCGUUCCACUUCCAGUAUCCUCCCUCCUCCUGGGACGUGGGCCAAGCUGAGG